rnacentral:rRNA from 1 species
UGGCUCAGGACGAACGCUGGUGGCGUGCUUAACACAUGCAAGUCGAACGGUGAAGCUCAGCUUGCUGGGCGGAUCAGUGGCGAACGGGUGAGUAACACGUGAGCAACCUGCCCCCUACUUCGGGAUAAGCCUUGGAAACGGGGUCUAAUACCGGAUAUGAACACUUAUCGCAUGGUGGGUGUUGGAAAGUUUUUCGGUGGGGGAUGGGCUCGCGGCCUAUCAGCUUGUUGGUGGGGUAAUGGCCUACCAAGGCGUCGACGGGUAGCCGGCCUGAGAGGGCGACCGGCCACACUGGGACUGAGACACGGCCCAGACUCCUACGGGAGGCAGCAGUGGGGAAUAUUGCACAAUGGGCGAAAGCCUGAUGCAGCGACGCCACGUGAGGGAUGACGGCCUUCGGGUUGUAAACCUCUUUCAGCAGGGAAGAAGCGCAAGUGACGGUACCUGCAGAAGAAGCGCCGGCUAACUACGUGCCAGCAGCCGCGGUAAUACGUAGGGCGCAAGCGUUGUCCGGAAUUAUUGGGCGUAAAGAGCUCGUAGGCGGUCUGUCGCGUCUGGUGUGAAAUCCCAUGGCUCAACUGUGGGCUUGCAUCGGGUACGGGCAGACUAGAGUGCUGUAGGGGAGACUGGAAUUCCUGGUGUAGCGGUGGAAUGCGCAGAUAUCAGGAGGAACACCGAUGGCGAAGGCAGGUCUCUGGGCAGUUACUGACGCUGAGGAGCGAAAGCAUGGGGAGCGAACAGGAUUAGAUACCCUGGUAGUCCAUGCCGUAAACGUUGGGCACUAGGUGUGGGGCGGGUUCCACUCGUUCUGUGCCGUAGCUAACGCAUUAAGUGCCCCGCCUGGGGAGUACGGCCGCAAGGCUAAAACUCAAAGGAAUUGACGGGGGCCCGCACAAGCGGCGGAGCAUGCGGAUUAAUUCGAUGCAACGCGAAGAACCUUACCAAGGCUUGACAUGUACGAGAAAGCCCCAGAGAUGGGGUUCUCUUUGGACACUCGUACACAGGUGGUGCAUGGUUGUCGUCAGCUCGUGUCGUGAGAUGUUGGGUUAAGUCCCGCAACGAGCGCAACCCUUAUCCUAUGUUGCCAGCGGGUUAUGCCGGGGACUCAUGGGAGACUGCCGGGGUCAACUCGGAGGAAGGUGGGGAUGACGUCAAAUCAUCAUGCCCCUUAUGUCUUGGGCUU